AUUUUGAUUACUUGAUGUUUUGGCUGCCUCUAUUAUCAUGAUGCCUCGACACACGUUGUCCUGUCUCCACUUCCUACAACAAAUUGUAUAUAUGAAUUAAUUUUUGAGAAGUGCAGGCUGAUGCAGCACUAUGAUGCUUGGAUGCGGUCCUGGAGGCAUAAAAGACACAUGAUGUUCACAAUCAUGGUGGCAGCAAGAUUGCGCGUACAUCUAUUGAUCAGUUCAUAAUGAGCUCCAAAACAGAGAAGCGUCAUGGUGUACCAUGGCUUGAGGAGAUGCAUAUGUCAGAAUUUUUGUGUAUUGCUGGAACAUGGUUUGCAUCGCUACAUUCUAAGUGUAUAAUGUGAAGGUGGACAGAUCAGCCUAAUUACUAACGGAAUUUGAUACCUUUCAACGAGACGAUUCAGAAGAUAUAUGGAUGAUUAUAUGGGUGCGUGGCAAGUAUACUGCAAUGAUGAUGAUGAUGAUGAUGGAUG